UACGGAGGAUCCAAGCGUUAUCCGGAUUUAUUGGGUUUAAAGGGUGCGUAGGCGGUUUGAUAAGUUAGAGGUGAAAUACCGGGGCUCAACUCCGGAACUGCCUCUAAUACUGUUGAACUAGAGAGUAGUUGCGGUAGGCGGAAUGUAUGGUGUAGCGGUGAAAUGCUUAGAGAUCAUACAGAACACCGAUUGCGAAGGCAGCUUACCAAACUAUAUCUGACGUUGAGGCACGAAAGCGUGGGGAGCAAACAGG
rnacentral:rRNA from 2 species